GUGGGGAAUAUUGGACAAUGGGCGCAAGCCUGAUCCAGCCAUGCCGCGUGAGUGAUGAAGGCCUUAGGGUUGUAAAGCUCUUUCAGUGGGGACGAUAAUGACGGUACCCACAGAAGAAGCCCCGGCUAACUUCGUGCCAGCAGCCGCGGUAAUACGAAGGGGGCUAGCGUUGUUCGGAUUUACUGGGCGUAAAGCGCACGUAGGCGGAUCGUUAAGUCGGGGGUGAAAUCCUGGAGCUCAACUCCAGAACUGCCUUCGAUACUGGCGAUCUUGAGUACGGAAGAGGUGAGUGGAACUCGUAGUGUAGAGGUGGAAUUCGUAGAUAUUAGGAAGAACACCAGUGGCGAAGGCGGCUCACUGGUCCGGUACUGACGCUGAGGUGCGAAAGCGUUGGGAGCAAACAGGAUUAGAAACCCCUGUAGUCC
rnacentral:rRNA from 1 species